rnacentral:rRNA from 1 species
AUUGAACGCUGGCGGCAUGCUUUACACAUGCAAGUCGAACGGUAACAGGUUAAGCUGACGAGUGGCGAACGGGUGAGUAAUGCAUCGGAACGUGCCCGAUCGUGUGGGAUAACGCAGCGAAAGCUGCGCUAAUACCGCAUACGAUCUGAGGAUGAAAGCGGGGGACCGUAAGGCCUCGCGCGAUCGGAGCGGCCGAUGUCAGAUUAGGUAGUUGGUGGGGUAAAGGCCCACCAAGCCGACGAUCUGUAGCUGGUCUGAGAGGACGACCAGCCACACUGGGACUGAGACACGGCCCAGACUCCUACGGGAGGCAGCAGUGGGGAAUUUUGGACAAUGGGCGAAAGCCUGAUCCAGCAAUGCCGCGUGCAGGAAGAAGGCCUUCGGGUUGUAAACUGCUUUUGUACGGAGCGAAAAGGUCCUUUCUAAUACAGGGGGCUCAUGACGGUACCGUAAGAAUAAGCACCGGCUAACUACGUGCCAGCAGCCGCCGUAA